GUGCCAGCAGCCGCGGUAAUACGGAGGGUGCGAGCGUUAAUCGGAAUUACUGGGCGUAAAGCGCACGCAGGUGGCUGGGUCAGUCGGUUGUGAAAUCCCCGGGCUUAACCUGGGAAUUGCGAUCGAAACUGCCCGGCUAGAGUAUGGGAGAGGGAAGUGGAAUUCCCGGUGUAGCGGUGAAAUGCAUAGAUAUCGGGAGGAACACCAGUGGCGAAGGCGGCUUCCUGGCCCAAUACUGACACUCAGGUGCGAAAGCGUGGGGAGCAAACAGGAUUAGAUACCCUGGUAGUCCACGCCGUAAACGAUGAGAACUAGAUGUCGGGGGGGAUUGGCCCCUCGGUGUCGCAGCUAACGCAUUAAGUUCUCCGCCUGGGGAGUACGCCGGCAACGGUAAAACUCAAAUAAAUUGACGG
rnacentral:rRNA from 1 species